CCGUAAGGGAACGAUGAAAGAUGCAUUAAAAGUACUAAACAGCAAAGCUUACCCCUUUUACCUUUUGCAUAAUGAUUUAACUAGAAUAAACUUAGCAAAGAGAACUUAAGCUAAGCACCCCGAAACCAGACGAGCUACCUAUGAACAGUUACAAAAGAACCAACUCAUCUAUGUCGCAAAAUAGUGAGAAGAUUCGUAGGUAGAGGUGAAAAGCCCAACGAGCCUGGUGAUAGCUGGUUGUCCAGAAACAGAAUUUCAGUUCAAAUUUAAAUUUACCUAAAAACUACUCAAUUCUAAUGUAAAUUUAAAUUAUAGUCUAAAAAGGUACAGCUUUUUAGAUACAGGUUACAACCUUCAUUAGAGAGUAAGAACAAGAUAAACCCAUAGUUGGCUUAAAAGCAGCCAUCAAUUAAGAAAGCGUUCAAGCUCAACGACACAUCUAUCUUAAUCCCAACAAUCAACCCAAACUAAC
rnacentral:rRNA from 1 species